ACCGUCCCCACUUGGCACAACCACUGCAUUACCUCCCCCAACACACACAUAAAGCCCAACCUUCAACGACGAAGGCUGCGCUUCCCGAGAGAACGGGACCAGGACAAAGGCGUCCUCGCUAGGCAACUAGCGGGACGCC
rnacentral:sRNA from 1 species